GACGAACGCUGGCGGCGUGCUUAACACAUGCAAGUCGAACGGAAAGGCCCGGCUUUGGGGGGCUGCGGGAGGUGCGAAGGGGGGAGUAACACGUGGGUAACCUGUCCUUGACUGUGGGAGAAGUUCAUGAAACUGGGGCUAAUACCGGAUAGGAGCUCCUGCUGCAGGGUGGGGGCUGGAAAGUUUCGGCGGUUGGGGCGGGACUCGCGGCCUAUCGGCUUGUUGGUGGGGUAGUGGCUUACCAAGGCUUGGGCGGGUGGCCGGCCUGGGAGGGUGACCGGCCACAUUGGGCCUGAGCUACGGCCCAGACUCCUACGGGAGGCAGCAGUGGGGAAUGUUGCACAAUGGGCGGAGGCCUGAUGCAGCAACGCCGCGUGCGGGAUGACGGCCUUCGGGUUGUAAACCGCAUUCGCCUGUGACGAAGCGUGAGUGACGGUAAUGGGUAAAGAAGCACCGGCUAACUACGUG
rnacentral:rRNA from 1 species